rnacentral:piRNA from 1 species
UCCAAAGGAUAUACUUUUUCUGGGAGCAC